GACGAACGCUGGCGGCGUGCUUAACACAUGCAAGUCGAACGGUGAACCUCUUCGGAGGGGAUCAGUGGCGAACGGGUGAGUAACACGUGGGCAACCUGCCCCCGGCUCUGGGAUAACUCCAAGAAAUUGGGGCUAAUACCGGAUGUUCACCGCUUCCCGCAUGGGUGGUGGUGGAAAGGGUUUCCGGCUGGGGAUGGGCCCGCGGCCUAUCAGCUUGUUGGUGGGGUAGUGGCCUACCAAGGCGACGACGGGUAGCCGGCCUGAGAGGGUGACCGGCCACACUGGGACUGAGACACGGCCCAGACUCCUACGGGAGGCAGCAGUGGGGAAUAUUGCGCAAUGGGCGGAAGCCUGACGCAGCGACGCCGCGUGGGGGAUGACGGCCUUCGGGUUGUAAACCUCUUUCAACAGGGACGAAGCGCAAGUGACGGUACCUGCAGAAGAAGCACCGGCCAACUACGUG
rnacentral:rRNA from 1 species